UAAGACGGAGGGUGCGAGCGUUGUUCGGAAUUACUGGGCGUAAAGGGUGUGUAGGCGGUUCCAUAAGUCUGGUGUGAAAGCCCAGGGCCCAGCCUUGGAAGGGCACCAGAGACUGUGGGGCUAGGGUACCGGAGAGGAGGGUGGAAUUUCCGGUGUAGCGGUGAUAUGCGUAGAUAUCGGGAGGAACACCAGUGGCGAAGGCGCCCCUCUGGACGGUCACUGACGCUGAGGCACGAAAGCGUGGGGAGCAAACAGGAUUAGAUACCCUGGUAGUCCACGCCGUAAACGAUGGGCACUAGGUGUCGGGGGUAACCACUCCCUCGGUGCCGCCGCUAACGCAUUAAAUGCCCCGCCUGGGGAGUACGGCCGCAAGGUUA
rnacentral:rRNA from 1 species